ACACAUGCAAGUCGAGGGGCAGCAUGGUCUUAGCUUGCUAAGGCUGAUGGCGACCGGCGCACGGGUGAGUAACACGUAUCCAACCUGCCGUCUACUCUUGGCCAGCCUUCCGAAAGGAAGAUUAAUCCAGGAUGGCAUCAUGAGUUCACAUGUCCGCAUGAUUAAAGGUAUUUUCCGGUAGACGAUGGGGAUGCGUUCCAUUAGAUAGUAGGCGGGGUAACGGCCCACCUAGUCAACGAUGGAUAGGGGUUCUGAGAGGAAGGUCCCCCACAUUGGAACUGAGACACGGUCCAAACUCCUACGGGAGGCAGCAGUGAGGAAUAUUGGUCAAUGGGCGAUGGCCUGAACCAGCCAAGUAGCGUGAAGGAUGACUGCCCUAUGGGUUGUAAACUUCUUUUAUAAAGGAAUAAAGUCGGGUAUGCAUACCCGUUUGCAUGUACUUUAUGAAUAAGGAUCGGCUAACUCCGUGCCAGCAGCCGCGGUAAUACGGAGGAUCCGAGCGUUAUCCGGAUUUAUUGGGUUUAAAGGGAGCGUAGAUGGAUGUUUAAGUCAGUUGUGAAAGUUUGCGGCUCAACCGUAAAAUUGCAGUUGAUACUGGAUGUCUUGAGUGCAGUUGAGGCAGGCGGAAUUCGUGGUGUAGCGGUGAAAUGCUUAGAUAUCACGAAGAACUCCGAUUGCGAAGGCAGCCUGCUAAGCUGCAACUGACAUUGAGGCUCGAAAGUGUGGGUAUCAAACAGGAUUAGAUACCCUGGUAGUCCACACGGUAAACGAUGAAUACUCGCUGUUUGCGAUAUACGGCAAGCGGCCAAGCGAAAGCGUUAAGUAUUCCACCUGGGGAGUACGCC
rnacentral:rRNA from 1 species